CGUUGAAACACCGGUUUCCGUAUGAUCAGCGAAGUUAAGCAACGUCGAGCGUGAUCAAUACCUAGAUGGGUGACUGCAGCGGAAUACCAGAUGCUGUAAG